AGGAAAAUAGUUUAAAAAAAAACACUUGAAUUGCAAUCAAAAAAUAUUAAUAUUUAAUUUUUCUUA
rnacentral:tRNA from 1 species